rnacentral:rRNA from 1 species
AUUGAACGCUGGCGGCAGGCCUCACACAUGCAAGUCGAACGUGUGGCGGACGGGUGAGUAAUCUCUGGGAAACUGCCUGAUGGAGGCGGAUAACUCCUGGAAACGGUAGCUAAUACCGCAUACCAUCAGAUGUGCCCAGAUGGGAUUAGAUAGUUGGUGGGGUAACGGCACACAAAGGCGACGAACCCUAGCUGGCCUGAGAGGAUGACCAGCAAUACUGGAACUGAGACACGGACCAGAUUCCUGCGGGACGCAGCAGAGGGGAAUAUUGCACAAUGGGCGCAAGCCAGAUGCAGCGAUGCCGCGUGUAUGAAGAAGGCCUUCGGGUUGUAAAGUACUUUCAGAGGGGAAGCGUUACCCGCAGAAGAAGCACCGGCUAGCUCCGUGCCAGCAGCCGCGGUAAUA